rnacentral:rRNA from 1 species
UGGUUUAAUUCGAAGCAACGCGAAGAACCUUACCAAAUCUUGACAUCCUUUGACAACUCUAGAGAUAGAGCUUUCCCUUCGGGGACAAAGUGACAGGUGGUGCAUGGUUGUCGUCAGCUCGUGUCGUGAGAUGUUGGGUUAAGUCCCGCAACGAGCGCAACCCUUAAGCUUAGUUGCCAUCAUUAAGUUGGGCACUCUAAGUUGACUGCCGGUGACAAACCGGA